AAGAACUCAUUGAUGUCUCGCUCAAUAGCUUGUAAAGAAACAUUGUUAACCUUAAUGGUUUUAAUCUGCAAUGGCAACAAUAAGCAUCAUUAAUAAAAUCUUCACAGUAACUAACAAAAAAGAAAAUCAUUGUAAAUAUAUGCAAAUUAACAACCCUAAAAUAACCAUUUCUCAUUAUAUCAGCAAGUAGCUAUGAACUCCAAUGACUUAUCAUGUAAGCACUAAGAAAAACUCAACCUCAACAAGCUUACAAGUUGAGAGAAAUGAAACAAUAGGAAAGAAAAUUAGAAAAAUUAAAAGGGAAAUCUAGAAUGAUUCAAUUAAGCAAAAACACAAUGAAAUGCAUAAGGCAAUCUUAACUCAAGAGCUAUAACCCAUUAACUAUAUCUUAUAUUAAUCAAGUCCUCCACCUCUUCUCCAAGAAUCCUUUGAAAUACAAGCUGCAUUAUGCAUAAAGUUACAAUAAUUGUUAAAUCAACAAACAUAUUAUAUUAAAAGAGAAAUAGAUUCAAAGAUUGGAACAAAGAAACAACAAGUGUGAAAACCAACUUCUGAUUGCAAAGAGAGAAUCAAAAAAAGGAAAACAAAGUUAACAUUCAUGAAUCAAAAACAAAAGCUAAUCGAAGAAGUAGAAAUCAAAGGAAAUGAAAAAGAAGAACUAACCCACGACAUGGUCAAAGAGAGAUGAGAACUUUGAAGUCAAUUGAUGAAGCCAUUAUGACUUUAUCUUAAUGAAACUACAUACUAUUGAUAUAACCCCAAAAGGCCCAAGAUUUGGCUUCUCUUCAUUUCUUCUAACAAACGAAGAAUUUCCCAAAAUAAUAGAUGACAAACAAAUAAACAAAAGGUCCAUUAGAAAAUAAAAACUCUAUUCUCAGUCUUCUAACUCUCACUUCUUGAAGAUCAUACCCCAUCUUUAUCUCUGUUGCUCCAAUCCAUUCAUUACUCCAACCCCAUUAACAAACAACUAGACAAAAGAAAAGCACUACAUUAAAAAAUACAUACACCUUGACACAACAAAAAAACCUUAGCCCAAGACAAAAGAGCCACCAACAAUCCAUUCUCAACACUAAUCAGCAUAGGAGAACACAACACCAAAUAAAAAAAAAUAUGACAAGUAUAGAAACAAGUAUUAAGCAUCAUUAACAACCAAAUAUUGAAACAAAAAUUAUUACCUUGAAGAAAAUAAAGGCAGAAUAUUAAUCAAUAUAAAACAAAGGAAAAAUAUUAAUUAAUAAAAAAACAUUAUAACAAGUAUAGAAACAAGCAUUAAGCAUCAUUAACCAAAUCAAUAAAAAUGCAAAAUGAACCAUAGUUGAAUUGAACUUACAACAAAAUCUAGAAUAUUAAUCAAUAUAAAAAAGUUUCAAUCAUUUGGGAUAGAAUUUUACCUUAAAAAGAAAGAAAAAAACUGGAGAAAUGAGAACUAAAAGGCGAGUAUACAAUGAGUAAACACUGUCAAUAUAUAAAUGUGUAUAAAUAGGAGAAUCAUCGAGAUUCAACCAACCAUUGUUAAUCUUUUUUAUUUGGAAAUUUUGGAAUUCACUUUUCCAUAUCUAAGUUUUUAUAAUUUCAUCAUCUAACAAUUUAAGGGAUUUUUUGUGAAUUAUUUGAAGUUUUUAAAUUCAACAAAUUAAACUAAAGAAAACCCACAUCUUGAAAUUCCUAAAUCAAUGAAAAAAAUAGAAAAGAAAGCAAAGGAAAGAGAAGGUACCACUGGUGUAACAAUAUUGAAAGCCAGCUCUGUCAACAAGCUUAGCACUACAACCAUCAAAACAAGUAGAGCCUUGGUGAGAACCAGGAGGUUCCAG
rnacentral:lncRNA from 1 species